rnacentral:rRNA from 1 species
CCGAGUUUACAACUCCCAAACCCAAUGUGAACGUUACCAAACUGUUGCCUCGGCGGGGUCACGCCCCGGGUGCGUAAAAGCCCCGGAACCAGGCGCCCGCCGGAGGAACCAACCAAACUCUUUCUGUAGUCCCCUCGCGGACGUAUUUCUUACAGCUCUGAGCAAAAAUUCAAAAUGAAUCAAAACUUUCAACAACGGAUCUCUUGGUUCUGGCAUCGAUGAAGAACGCAGCGAAAUGCGAUAAGUAAUGUGAAUUGCAGAAUUCAGUGAAUCAUCGAAUCUUUGAACGCACAUUGCGCCCGCCAGUAUUCUGGCGGGCAUGCCUGUCCGAGCGUCAUUUCAACCCUCGAACCCCUCCGGGGGAUCGGCGUUGGGGAUCGGGACCCCUCACCGGGUGCCGGCCCUGAAAUACAGUGGCGGUCUCGCCGCAGCCUCUCCUGCGCAGUAGUUUGCACAACUCGCACCGGGAGCGCGGCGCGUCCACGUCCGUAAAACACCCAACUUCUGAAAUGUUGACCUCGGAUCAGGUAGGAAUACCCGCUGAACUUAAGCAUAUCAUA